UACGGAGGGUGCGAGCGUUAAUCGGAAUUACUGGGCGUAAAGCGCACGCAGGCGGAUUGUUAAGCAGAGGUGAAAGCCCCGCGCUCAACCGUGGGAAUUGCCUUUAGAACUGGCAGUCUAGAGUCUUGGAGAGGGGAGUGGAAGUUCCAGGUGUAGCGGUGAAAUGCGUAGAGAUCUGGAGGAACAUCAGUGGCGAAGGCGACUCCCUGGCCAAAGACUGACGCUCAUGUGCGAAAGUGUGGGUAGCGAACAGGAUUAGAUACCCCCGUAGUCC
rnacentral:rRNA from 1 species